rnacentral:rRNA from 1 species
UACGUAGGGUGCGAGCGUUAAUCGGAAUUACUGGGCGUAAAGCGUGCGCAGGCGGUUUUGUAAGCCAGAUGUGAAAGCCCCGGGCUUAACCUGGGAAUGGCAUUUGGGACUGCAAGGCUGGAGUGCGGCAGAGGAGACUGGAAUUCCUGGUGUAGCAGUGAAAUGCGUAGAUAUCAGGAGGAACACCGAUGGCGAAGGCAGGUCUCUGGGCUGACACUGACGCUCAUGCAUGAAAGCGUGGGGAGCAAACAGG